rnacentral:rRNA from 1 species
GACGAACGCUGACGGCGUGCUUAACACAUGCAAGUCGAAGGGAGUGGCGAACGGGUGAGUAACACGUGAGUAACCUGCCCUUUUCUUUGGGAUAAACCUGGGAAACUGGGUCUAAUACUGGAUGGAUUGGGAUGGGCUCGCGGCUUAUCAGGUUGUUGGUGGGGUGAUGGCUUACCAAGGCUUUGACGGGUAGCCGGCCUGAGAGGGUGGUCGGUCACACGGGGACGGAGCAACGGCCCAGAGUACGACGGGUGGCAGCAGUGGGGGAUAUUGCACAAUGGACGAAAGUCCGAUGCAGCGUCGUCGUGUGGGGGAUGAAGGCCUUAGGGUUGUAAACGCCUUUCGCCCGCGGAAUGGUAGUGGGUAAAGAAGCGCCGGCUAACUACGUGCCAGCAGCCGCGGUAAUUC